UACGUAGGGGGCGAGCGUUGUCCGGAAUUAUUGGGCGUAAAGAGCGUGUAGGCGGUUCGGUAAGUCUGCCGUGAAAACCUGGGGCUCAACCCCAGGCGUGCGGUGGAUACUGCCGGGCUAGAGGGUGGUAGAGGCGAGUGGAAUUCCCGGUGUAGCGGUGAAAUGCGCAGAUAUCAGGAGGAACACCGGUGGCGAAGGCGGGUCUCUGGGCCGAUACUGACGCUGAGGAGCGAAAGCGUGGGGAGCGAACAGG
rnacentral:rRNA from 1 species